ACCACAGAAGAAGCUAUUGGGUUAGCUAGAACAGAGAGUUGUACCAACAAUACCUACAUGACAAUUCAAUGGUGGGGCCUUUUACUGGAACAGUGGUUUAUUUUGGCCUGCCUACCAUUUCACAUAUCAAAAUGGUGAUCCAGGAAGCAUAUUUGGAUUCUUCCUGGCACUGCACCAACAACUGAAUCCUGUCAAUAAGAAACUAUAGAAACCCAAGCAUGAAAAUGGAGACGGAAUGUACAGUAAAACAUUCAACGCUGAAUCAGAAAAUGAGCAAGAAUAAAAAUGACCAUCACACACACAGCCACUGCUGCUCCCAAGCUGAGGACAAUGGGAUCCACUGUGCUUCCUGGGAUGAAAAUACAUUUAACAUGUUUGUUUGAUGUUUUAUGUUAAGCUUGCAUAGUUGAUAACACAAUUUAUUUCGAUUUGACCCAUUUAAACUAAAUAAUGGUACCUAUAAAAUAUGCUUAAAUGUUUCGAUAAAGAAGUGUAAGGUGCUUUAUCAAUUUAAUAAAAAGUUGUACCUUUAAUGAUGUUAAGUUUUGU